CCGUGCAGCUGGGGAGUUAGCGGCGUCCUGUACCUGCAAUCCGCUAUAGCAGGAGUGAUGGUUGGCCCCGGAUGUUCUGUGGAUGGAGCUGCCCUUUAUAAGUGGUGUUGACAAUUGGGUCUUGCGCAACAGAGACCUUUGAACCGUGUCAGGUCGGGAACGAAGCAGCACUAAGAAGUGUUUUUCUGUGUGCCGCAAGGGUGCCUGGUUCGAGCUAACUGUAGAGGUAACGUCUGUUGACAGUCGUACAAAGCCAACCGCACGG
rnacentral:SRP_RNA from 1 species